rnacentral:rRNA from 1 species
UACGGAGGGUGCGAGCGUUGUCCGGAAUCAUUGGGCGUAAAGCGCUCGUAGGCGGUUCGGCAAGUCGGAUGUGAAAUCUCCACGCUUAACGUGGAGGGGCCAUUCGAAACUGCCGUGACUCGAGUCCGGUAGGGGAGUUCGGAAUUCCCGGUGUAGCGGUGAAAUGCGCAGAUAUCGGGAGGAACACCAGUGGCGAAGGCGGAACUCUGGGCCGGAACUGACGCUGAGGAGCGAAAGCGUGGGGAGCGAACAGG